UGAGGGGGAGAAUCUAAAAUUUUAAGAAAACAAUAUAAGCCAAACAAUUGAGUGUAUGUUUUGAAGGCUUAUAUUAUUCCAAAUGAAAGGGGGAGCCUUAAUUUCAAACUUUACUGGCUCAUACCUUUCAAUUUUGGAUACACUAAAUAACUAGACAUUUGAAUUCAUUUUGAAAUUUUACUGCAAUUUGAUUUUGAUGAGCUCAAAGCAUUUGAGUAUAUUUUAUGUUAUACUAAUGAAUUCAAUCUAGUGUUUCAGGCAAAUAUUUGUGUAUUUUUAAUUAAGUGCCUCAAGCUUUGGUUCAAAAUAAUUUGGACAAGUAUUGAACUCUAUAUGAACCAAAGUCUGAAUCCCGAGUCGACUCCGAAAGAUUACGAGUCGACUCCAAGUGGUUUCGAGUUUCUGGCACGAGCUCGAGUCGACUCCGAUACUUUACGAGUCGACUCCGUCUGAGAACAAAAAGAAAGACAGAAAGAUAGUUUUUCAUACCCUGUCAGCGAGUCGACUCCAGAAGGCUUCGAGUCGACUCCGAUGCUUGCCAAGUCGACUCCCGACAGUUCCGAGUCGACUCCAAGGAGUAACAGACAGAAAGACAGAGCGAUGGAUUUUAGACCCUGUUACCGAGUCGACUCCAGAAGGAUGCGAGUCGACUCCGACGUUUGGCGAGUCGACUCCUAAUUAUGCCCGAGUCGACUCUCAGAGGAAAGCAGACUGAAAGGCAGAGAACCAAACUCAGUAACCCUGUGAACGAGUCGACUCCAAGAAUUCCAGAGUCGACCCCCAAGUCAGCCGAGUCGACUCCAACAAAGUGCGAGUCGACUCCGAGGCAGUUCAGAUCAACAGACAGAGGAUCG
rnacentral:lncRNA from 1 species